AUUUCUUUGGGAAGCAUGUUUUGUGGUCACAGCACGACUACGGUAGCAAGUAUUAUUAAAUGCUGAAAAUCCCCUUAGGGAGGUUGGUUUGGGGGGGUGAAUGGGACAGACAACACAGGACUUUCACCUCGGAGACCGGGGGUUGUGUCCCGGCGUGUGGCGUGUUGUUUCCCGUUCUUCUUU